rnacentral:rRNA from 1 species
AUUGAACGCUGGCGGCAUGCCUUACACAUGCAAGUCGAACGGCAGCACGGGUGCUUGCACCUGGUGGCGAGUGGCGAACGGGUGAGUAAUAUAUCGGAACGUACCUUAUUGUGGGGGAUAACGCAGCGAAAGCUGUGCUAAUACCGCAUAAUCCCUAAGGGGGAAAGCGGGGGACCGUAAGGCCUCGCGCAAUUAGAGCGGCCGAUACCUGAUUAGCUAGUUGGUGAGGUAAAGGCUCACCAAGGCAACGAUCAGUAGCUGGUCUGAGAGGACGAUCAGCCACACUGGGACUGAGACACGGCCCAGACUCCUACGGGAGGCAGCAGUGGGGAAUUUUGGACAAUGGGGGCAACCCUGAACCAGGAAUGCCGCGUGAGUGAAGAAGGCCUUCGGGUUGUAAAGCUCUUUUGUCAGGGAAGAAACAGCAGCUCUAACACAGUUUGCGAAUGACGGUACCUGAAGAAUAAGCACCGGCUAACUACGUGCCAGCCGCCGCAGUAA